AAAUGAAUAGACGGGGGCCCGCACAAGCGGCGGAGCAUGCGGAUUAAUUCGAUGCAACGCGAAGAACCUUACCAAGGCUUGACAUAUACCGGAAACGGCCAGAGAUGGUCGCCCCCUUGUGGUCGGUAUACAGGUGGUGCAUGGUUGUCGUCAGCUCGUGUCGUGAGAUGUUGGGUUAAGUCCCGCAACGAGCGCAACCCUCGUUCUAUGUUGCCAGCGGUUCGGCCGGGGACUCAUAGGAGACUGCCGGGGUCAACUCGGAGGAAGGUGGGGAUGACGUCAAAUCAUCAUGCCCCUUAUGUCUUGGGCUUCACGCAUGCUACAAUGGCCGGUACAAAGGGCUGCGAUGCCGUAAGGCGGAGCGAAUCCCAAAAAGCCGGUCUCAGUUCGGAUUGAGGUCUGCAACUCGACCUCAUGAAGUCGGAGUCGCUAGUAAUCGCAGAUCAGCAACGCUGCGGUGAAUACGUUCCCGGGCCUUGUACACACCGCCCGU
rnacentral:rRNA from 1 species